UACGAAGGGGGCUAGCGUUGCUCGGAAUCACUGGGCGUAAAGCGCACGUAGGCGGCUUUUAAGUCAGAGGUGAAAUCCCUGGAGCUCAACUCCAGAACUGCCUUUGAUACUGGAGAGCUUGAGUCCGGGAGAGGUGAGUGGAACUGCGAGUGUAGAGGUGAAAUUCGUAGAUAUUCGCAAGAACACCAGUGGCGAAGGCGGCUCACUGGCCCGGUACUGACGCUGAGGUGCGAAAGCGUGGG
rnacentral:rRNA from 1 species